rnacentral:rRNA from 1 species
UACGUAGGUGGCAAGCGUUGUCCGGAUUUAUUGGGUUUAAAGGGUGCGUAGGCGGUCUAUUAAGUCAGUGGUGAAAUAUUUCAGCUCAACUGGAAUUGUGCCAUUGAUACUGAUGGGCUUGAGUACAGAUGAGGUAGGCGGAAUUGACGGUGUAGCGGUGAAAUGCUUAGAUAUCGUCAAGAACACCUAUAGCGAAGGCAGCUUACUAGGCUGUAACUGACGCUGAGGCACGAAAGUGUGGGGAUCAAACAGG